GCCAUUUCCAUGGCUUAGAAGCAAGUCACGGGUCCUAACUCACACUCAAGAGGAGGGAGCCACACAAAGCAAUGACCAUCAGGGGAAGAGAUUAGGGGUGCCACCUUAGAGUUUGCCACACGGUCUUCCUAAGAAAACCAAGAUCUAGAAUUUCUAGUAGAAUUUUCUUUUGUUCGUCUAAGAAUCAAUUGAUUCUUAAUUCUAAGCUUGAAGUGUAACUGCAUUUUUAUGGGAUAUGAUUUGUCUUCUAAUAAUACUGACAAAAACAACUGGAUUUAAAGAUGAAAGUGUCUGCCAUGAGGAGUACGGGGACAGCAGGAAUGAAAAGGAAUAUUUAAGAAUGCAAAAACCAGUCAGACAGCACAGCUCUGAGCCUGGCAGUGCCCCUGCAGGGGCACUGGUUCACAUGCUGAUUGUGAGCAAGGAAAAUCUCAUUUAAACCAAGUGGGAAAUUAUAGUUACCAAGUUGACGAUUACUUCAUUCAUAUAUAUAUAUUUCACUGCUACAUUCCCAUCAUUGCAUGGGUCACUUUUGACCUUAGGGCUCUUUACAAUUCUUGAUUUCAUUAGUAUAAAAAAUAUGAACUCUGAACACUGUCGGGCGUGACUUCCAGGCAGAAAGAUCAACCGUGUGAACCAAGCUGAGUAUCUUCACCAGCCCCUGAGUUGCUGCACUGUGAACUGGGUAUACAGACUGCUAAUGCUUUGUUAGGAGUUCUUUCAACAUGGAAACUACUUGAUACAUCAGCUUUGAAGCAAUGCGGCAUACGCAUGCUCUAGAAAGGUAAAAUGCUAAGGUCUGUCCUGCUGAAGAGUCCAGUGGCCACACCAGUUUCACAUUACACAGAACACAGCUUCUUCACAACCUCUGACCAUCUCCAUCCUCUGAAGUGGUCCACUGGAUCUAAUGUCCCAACAUGCUGUGCUAUUUGUAACAUGCUGAGGGCUCUGCCCCACUUACAUUCUUUACCUCUUCUAUAUGAUGCAUUAAAAUAUUUUGUGAUCCAUAA
ensembl:lncRNA novel transcript